CGGGUACUGCCCUGUGCGUGUGACGCUACAUUCCAGUGGCCUUAAGCAAAUCCGAGGGAGCUGGCUCUGUUUGAGCCCUGGUUCAUUUAUCUGGCGCCCACCUGUACAUACAGGUCCUCGGGAAUAAAAAGCUGACCGGCAGGUGCGGUCCCGUC
rnacentral:sRNA from 1 species